rnacentral:rRNA from 1 species
ACGUAGGUGGCGAGCGUUAUCCGGAUUUACUGGGCGUAAAGGGAGCGUAGGCGGAUGAUUAAGUGGGAUGUGAAAUACCCAGGCUCAACUUGGGUGCUGCAUUCCAAACUGGUUAUCUAGAGUGCAGGAGAGGAGAGUGGAAUUCCUAGUGUAGCGGUGAAAUGCGUAGAGAUUAGGAAGAACACCAGUGGCGAAGGCGACUCUCUGGACUGUAACUGACGCUGAGGCUCGAAAGCGUGGGGAGCAAACAG